rnacentral:rRNA from 1 species
AGAGUUUGAUCCUGGCUCAGAUUGAACGCUGGCGGCAUGCCUUACACAUGCAAGUCGAACGGCAGCGCGGGGGGUAACUCCUGGCGGCGAGUGGCGAACGGGUGAGUAAUAUAUCGGAACGUGCCCAAGAGUGGGGGAUAACCAGUCGAAAGAUUGGCUAAUACCGCAUACGAUCUACGGAUGAAAGUGGGGGAUUCGCAAGAACCUCAUGCUCCUGGAGCGGCCGAUAUCUGAUUAGCUAGUUGGUGGGGUAAAAGCCUACCAAGGCGACGAUCAGUAGCUGGUCUGAGAGGACGACCAGCCACACUGGGACUGAGACACGGCCCAGACUCCUACGGGAGGCAGCAGUGGGGAAUUUUGGACAAUGGGGGCAACCCUGAUCCAGCAAUGCCGCGUGUGUGAAGAAGGCCUUCGGGUUGUAAAGCACUUUUGUCACGGAAGAAACGGUGAGGGCUAAUAUCUCUUGCUAAUGACGGUACCUGAAGAAUAAGCACCGGCUAACUACG